rnacentral:rRNA from 1 species
CACGUAGGGGGCAAGCGUUUGUCCGGAUUUAUUGGGCGUAAAGAGCUCGUAGGUGGUUCGGUAAGUCGGAUGUGAAAUCUCCAGGCUCAACCUGGAGGGGUCAUUCGAUACUGCCGUGACUAGAGGUCGGUAGGGGAGUGUGGAAUUCCUGGUGGAGCGGUGAAAUGCGCAGAUAUCAGGAGGAACACCCGUAGCGAAGGCGGCACUCUGGGCCGAUACUGACACUGAGGAGCGAAAGCGUGGGGAGCGAACAGG